GAAUGUAAGAGCGAUGUUGUUGCACCCUUGUCACCCCACUGAUUGGCAGGGUGUAUGUUUGGUCUAGCUGGCUGGGUAGGGAUUCACUUUCGCCCUCACUACUUGACGCAGACAUGACAAAAAGGCUGAUCUGGCCAUGGGAAUGCAAGUUGCUAUCCUCUUAUACUAGAAUUUCCAAGAAAGCUUCUGGAGAACAAAAAGGACAGCUUAAAUACCCUACAUUUACAGCCUAUGCAUUUUCACCAUUGUGAUA
rnacentral:snRNA from 1 species